CACGUAGGGCGCAAGCGUUGUCCGGAAUUAUUGGGCGUAAAGAGCUCGUAGGCGGACUGUUGCGUCCGCUGUGAAAAGCUGGGGCUUAACCCUGGCCUUGCAGUGGAUACGGGCAGACUAGAGGUAGGUAGGGGAGAAUGGAAUUCCCGGUGUAGCGGUGAAAUGCGCAGAUAUCGGGAGGAACACCGGUGGCGAAGGCGGUUCUCUGGGCCUUACCUGACGCUGAGGAGCGAAAGCGUGGGGAGCGAUCCGG
rnacentral:rRNA from 1 species